UGAGCAAUCUGCCCUUCACAUCGGAAUAACCAUUGGAAACGAUGGCUAAUACCGAAUAUGACUUCGGAUCGCAUGAUCUGAAGUGGAAAGCUCCGGCGGUGAAGGAUGAGCUCGCGGCCUAUCAGCUUGUUGGUGAGGUAAUGGCUCACCAAGGCGACGACGGGUAGCUGGUCUGAGAGGACGACCAGCCACACUGGAACUGAGACUAGGCCCAA
rnacentral:rRNA from 1 species